rnacentral:rRNA from 1 species
GGUUAAGCGACUAAGCGUACACGGUGGAUGCCCUGGCAGUCAGAGGCGAUGAAGGACGUGCUAAUCUGCGAUAAGCGUCGGUAAGGUGAUAUGAACCGUUAUAACCGGCGAUUUCCGAAUGGGGAAACCCAGUGUGACUCGUCACACUAUCAUUAACUGAAUCCAUAGGUUAAUGAGGCGAACCGGGGGAACUGAAACAUCUAAGUACCCCGAGGAAAAGAAAUCAACCGAGAUUCCCCCAGUAGCGGCGAGCGAACGGGGAGCAGCCCAGAGCCUGAAUCAGUGUGUGUGUUAGUGGAAGCGUCUGGAAAGGCGCGCGAUACAGGGUGACAGCCCCGUACACAAAAAUGCACAUGCUGUGAGCUCGAUGAGUAGGGCGGGACACGUGGUAUCCUGUCUGAAUAUGGGGGGACCAUCCUCCAAGGCUAAAUACUCCUGACUGACCGAUAGUGAACCAGUACCGUGAGGGAAAGGCGAAAAGAACCCCGGCGAGGGGAGUGAAAAAGAACCUGAAACCGUGUACGUACAAGCAGUGGGAGCCUCUUUAUGGGGUGACUGCGUACCUUUUGUAUAAUGGGUCAGCGACUUAUAUUCUGUAGCAAGGUUAACCGAAUAGGGGAGCCGAAGGGAAACCGAGUCUUAACUGGGCGUUAAGUUGCAGGGUAUAGACCCGAAACCCGGUGAUCUAGCCAUGGGCAGGUUGAAGGUUGGGUAACACUAACUGGAGGACCGAACCGACUAAUGUUGAAAAAUUAGCGGAUGACUUGUGGCUGGGGGUGAAAGGCCAAUCAAACCGGGAGAUAGCUGGUUCUCCCCGAAAGCUAUUUAGGUAGCGCCUCGUGAAUUCAUCUCCGGGGGUAGAGCACUGUUUCGGCAAGGGGGUCAUCCCGACUUACCAACCCGAUGCAAACUGCGAAUACCGGAGAAUGUUAUCACGGGAGACACACGGCGGGUGCUAACGUCCGUCGUGAAGAGGGAAACAACCCAGACCGCCAGCUAAGGUCCCAAAGUCAUGGUUAAGUGGGAAACGAUGUGGGAAGGCCCAGACAGCCAGGAUGUUGGCUUAGAAGCAGCCAUCAUUUAAAGAAAGCGUAAUAGCUCACUGGUCGAGUCGGCCUGCGCGGAAGAUGUAACGGGGCUAAACCAUGCACCGAAGCUGCGGCAGCGACACUAUGUGUUGUUGGGUAGGGGAGCGUUCUGUAAGCCUGCGAAGGUGUACUGUGAGGUAUGCUGGAGGUAUCAGAAGUGCGAAUGCUGACAUAAGUAACGAUAAAGCGGGUGAAAAGCCCGCUCGCCGGAAGACCAAGGGUUCCUGUCCAACGUUAAUCGGGGCAGGGUGAGUCGACCCCUAAGGCGAGGCCGAAAGGCGUAGUCGAUGGGAAACAGGUUAAUAUUCCUGUACUUGGUGUUACUGCGAAGGGGGGACGGAGAAGGCUAUGUUGGCCGGGCGACGGUUGUCCCGGUUUAAGCGUGUAGGCUGGUUUUCCAGGCAAAUCCGGAAAAUCAAGGCUGAGGCGUGAUGACGAGGCACUACGGUGCUGAAGCAACAAAUGCCCUGCUUCCAGGAAAAGCCUCUAAGCAUCAGGUAACAUCAAAUCGUACCCCAAACCGACACAGGUGGUCAGGUAGAGAAUACCAAGGCGCUUGAGAGAACUCGGGUGAAGGAACUAGGCAAAAUGGUGCCGUAACUUCGGGAGAAGGCACGCUGAUAUGUAGGUGAAGUCCCUCGCGGAUGGAGCUGAAAUCAGUCGAAGAUACCAGCUGGCUGCAACUGUUUAUUAAAAACACAGCACUGUGCAAACACGAAAGUGGACGUAUACGGUGUGACGCCUGCCCGGUGCCGGAAGGUUAAUUGAUGGGGUUAGCGGUAACGCGAAGCUCUUGAUCGAAGCCCCGGUAAACGGCGGCCGUAACUAUAACGGUCCUAAGGUAGCGAAAUUCCUUGUCGGGUAAGUUCCGACCUGCACGAAUGGCGUAAUGAUGGCCAGGCUGUCUCCACCCGAGACUCAGUGAAAUUGAACUCGCUGUGAAGAUGCAGUGUACCCGCGGCAAGACGGAAAGACCCCGUGAACCUUUACUAUAGCUUGACACUGAACAUUGAGCCUUGAUGUGUAGGAUAGGUGGGAGGCUUUGAAGUGUGGACGCCAGUCUGCAUGGAGCCGACCUUGAAAUACCACCCUUUAAUGUUUGAUGUUCUAACGUUGGCCCCUGAUCGGGGUUGCGGACAGUGUCUGGUGGGUAGUUUGACUGGGGCGGUCUCCUCCUAAAGAGUAACGGAGGAGCACGAAGGUUGGCUAAUCCUGGUCGGACAUCAGGAGGUUAGUGCAAUGGCAUAAGCCAGCUUGACUGCGAGCGUGACGGCGCGAGCAGGUGCGAAAGCAGGUCAUAGUGAUCCGGUGGUUCUGAAUGGAAGGGCCAUCGCUCAACGGAUAAAAGGUACUCCGGGGAUAACAGGCUGAUACCGCCCAAGAGUUCAUAUCGACGGCGGUGUUUGGCACCUCGAUGUCGGCUCAUCACAUCCUGGGGCUGAAGUAGGUCCCAAGGGUAUGGCUGUUCGCCAUUUAAAGUGGUACGCGAGCUGGGUUUAGAACGUCGUGAGACAGUUCGGUCCCUAUCUGCCGUGGGCGCUGGAGAACUGAGGGGGGCUGCUCCUAGUACGAGAGGACCGGAGUGGACGCAUCACUGGUGUUCGGGUUGUCAUGCCAAUGGCACUGCCCGGUAGCUAAAUGCGGAAGAGAUAAGUGCUGAAAGCAUCUAAGCACGAAACUUGCCCCGAGAUGAGUUCUCCCUGACUCCUUGAGAGUCCUGAAGGAACGUUGAAGACGACGACGUUGAUAGGCCGGGUGUGUAAGCGCAGCGAUGCGUUGAGCUAACCGGUACUAAUGAACCGUGAGGCUUAACCUU